GGGCUUUACAUUGGACGAACGGCAUCAGGCAACACGUUCCUCACUUGGCUCGCCCUCCCCACUCUCUUCCUCACUUGGCUCGUCCUCCCCUUCCCGUACCUUUCUCCUGAGUGUCCUCACCGCCGGCGAAAGGGAAGGUCAGGCCCUGCCUCCCUGCUCCAGGCCUCUACUCUGCCACCUACCCACCGCCGGCCUCGGCGAAUUCGCAUCCCCACCGCUGCAGCUCCGCCGCCGGCGUGAGAACCGUGUCGACCCCUGGUUCCUCUCCGCCCGCACCAUGGUCGGCCCAUCCCUUGCCUCGUCGCCGCUCUCUGCAAGCCCGAAGUCCUAGACCUCGUCUCCACUGACCUCACGCGCGUUGGAGAAAUCAACAGGGCCAGCUACCUCCUCCCGGUUCCCUAGGGGCAACUGACGCCGGAGAGGACGCCCCGAUCCGGCGGGUUGACCGUGUGGCGAGCUUCCCCGAGCCCCAAGUACGGCAUGCUCGGUCGACUCCCCUCCCACAGCUGGUAAUCCCCCUUGUCUGAACCGGCACCACUUAUGAUUUCUUCCUUGCUGGAUCUCAUCGUGAGAGGAAAUUGCAGGUGCUGGAUCUCAUUUGUGACCAUUUACGUUUAGUUGGCUAAGUAGUAAAAAUAUGAUACAAAGUACUUGUCCGUAAGCGCCCCAUUCUUUCUGGAGCUUUUUUCUUCUGAAACAAUCAAGUCUUAGUUUUGUUGUUGUAAAUCAACUUGAUAUAAAUCGCUUGUAUGCUAGAACACCUAUAUCUACAUGUUUUUUUAUAAGAUUUUGGCAUAAUCUAGACUGCAUAAAGAAGAGAAUAUAAGUAACCCUAUAUCUUCACUUUUUUGGGAAAUUGCGUGUUGCUGCAUAAUCUGAAGAAAGUGCUUUGUGCAAUUACAUGCUGGAAUGUGUAGAGCAUUUCAUCCUGUAGUUUCCAAAUUCUUUAUCUAUCUUAGUGUGCAAUAGAUUGAUUCAGAGAAGGGUUAGUCCUGACAAAGAGUAGCUUCUAAUUUUUGUUGGUUGUUUAUCUAUCUCUGGUAUCCUUAAAUAGUUCGUUUCACCUCAGAUUUUACCUAAGCUUAUGUCAUCACAACCCCUUCCAAUAAGUUGUGAUACCUUUUCUUGCUGAUGCAUCUGAUGUGGAUCAGGCCCUGUCUGGCAAAUGGGAACUGGACCCUGCUGUUUCUGAGGACCUGCUACUGUGACUUGCCAUAUAUUAGUGUCAUUGCAUCCUGCAGGAUCUACUGACCCUAAUGCUGUUGCAUUCUUCUCUCCCACUGAGGGAGGAAGCUACCUGCAUGCAAGAGCCGUGUCUGUGCAUCAUGUUUUUAAGCAUGUGACGAACAUGUUGACAAGGCAUUGCAGUACUUUGUCAGUAAUGAGCCUAGCAGGAGCACUUCCUCUGUUUGGCAAUUCCAUACGCUGCUGCCGGGCAGCUGCAACCAACACCUGACAGAGGCUUAUGAAUCCGCUUUCUCCCAGCUUCCUAAACCGGUAUACCCUCUAGCCGCUAACAAAAACUGUGAGGCCCAAGACCAUGUUCAAGUGGUUAGCCCGCAAGUAAAGAAGAGAACAGGAGCAGUUUGCCUAAACCGCUGUCUGGUAUUACCUAAAAUCAUUUGCAUUUUAUUUCUGGAAGAUGCACAGGAAACCGCAUAGGUAGCCAAUGCAUUGACUGCGAACGCACCAAGCAUGGUUUCAACUUCAAGUAACUGUUCCAACAGUGUCUUCUGUUUACCAUGAGUACGCAAUGAAAAGCCAAAAUACCAGUAUUUAUCUUCAGAAGAAGUAAGAAACUGAUGCGAUGUCUGAGCGUCAAAGAAGAGGCGGCAGACCAAUGAGGCAGACCACGGGGCGUCGGCGAGGCGGCAGACCAAUGAGGCAGACCACGGGGCGUCGGCGAGGCGGUAGACCAAUGAGGCAGACCACGGCGCGUCGGCGUUGGCAACCAGCAAGGUCGAUGGAGAGAUUGCAGUCGUCGGCGAAGAUACGGCAGACCACGGGGCGGCGAGCUGGUUGCCAGAAGGCAGGCGUCAAAGAAGAGAUGUCAGACCACGAGGCAGCGAGGUGGUUGCCGGACGGCAGACGUCGGAGUAAAGACGGCAGCGUGAGGGUGAGAAGAGACGGCAGCGUGAGGGGGAGGUGAUUUCGUUGGUCUGAUUGAUUUCCAUAUACGUUUUGGCUGAUUUUUUCCUUGUACGUGAGGGGGAGAUGAUUUCGUUGUCCAUUUCACUGAUUGAUAUUUCCUUGCAUGGAACGUAAGAUUGCUUGA